GUUUAUGCUGCGCUCCUUCCCUUCCCCCACACGUCCUCCCUGCGUGCGCUGCCCACAUCACCGCCCCGCAUUCCCCGCCUGGCUUCAGCCCCUCAGGCGAUGGCUGAGUGAGGGAGGGGAGGCGGCGGCUGGGGUUUCAUUCGACGCCCACCAGGGGCUGAGCGAGCCUCCUUCAGUGCGCAAACUCGGGGCACCACAUAAAAGCUGGGCUGGCAGCUCUUUACUCUGCCUCGAUGGAGCCGCCACAAGCGGGUCACCGGAGAAGCCGCUAGCAGCGGUGCCGUAGCCUAGGCUUCCCCGUACCUUGGGCACAGAGGGGCUGUAAAGAACCGCUGCUGCGGCAGGAAGGAGUCGGGAUGAAGGGAUCUGGAUGCAGAGGAGGCGGCUGUAACGAGGCAUCGAGUAUGGGGGGAGGGAGUGAUUAAACGUCUUGUGGCCAUGGCGGAGUCUGAGGGUAUUUUUUCCUGUCUAACUCGUGUGCGUGUCUCUGUCUCUCUCUUUCUCUCUCUGUAGGGCGCUUGGUUGGGCUGCUCGCUCGGGUUCUGCCUGUUGUUGCGCGAAAUGGCGGCUGCUGUCUUGGGCCCUAACUAUAGACAGCAACUGAAAAGGAGACAGGACUGUGUCAGGGACAAGUUGGAGAGGAUGGGGCAGAAGGGAUCAAGCCUGGGGGAACUAGGAGAAGAGGUUGUGACCACAAAAAUAUACUCCCCUUGAUGAUAGUCUGAAAUGGAACUCAAGAUUAUCUUCUUUGUAAAGAACUUUAAGAUCUACUCAUAAGCAGCUCUUAUGGAACACUUUUUUUCAUUAGUAUUGAGUUUCACCAUUCUCCUGCUGUCAGCAACUGUCUCUAACACUUUACUAGUGGGUUUAUGUCUCAUCUCCCCCUAAUGCUGGUCCACAUGGAGGAUGCCAACCUCCUUCUGCUAUUGGUUACUCAGCUCAAGAGUCAGGGGUCUGUGCAGUGGAUCUUAAGGUUCCAAUUCUGUCAGUGAACCAUAUAGGUGUCAAUAUAAUGCCAUAUGAUGGAAUUUCUAUAUUUUAGUCUGCUUUAAAAAAAAAAAACCUAGGAUAUUACACACACCAAACUAUGUGAAAUAAAAACAUGGAAGGUUAGAGUCAAGCACUCAAAAGUUUGGAAAUGCCAGAAUGAAGAUUGACAGAAAUUAAGGUUCUACAGGUAGUGUCUCUCUUCUUCCCUCCCCCCUUAAUUUUUAAUUGUGUGAUGCCAUACUGUUUUUUCCCUAAGGCCCCUGCCUCAUUCGGUGGAAAGGGUAGACUUACAUUGGGGAUGAAUCUGAGUUGUGCAGUAAAGGAGGCCCCUGCCUCAUUUGUUGCAGAACCUGGAAGAUGUAUAAUAAUGAGACAAAGGAUUGCAGGAACAGAAAAGGUCUCAUGGUUAAGGUGUUUGAAUGCUGGUUUGGAGAACUGGAUUUUAUCCCUGCCUUUGCUACAGAGUUCCUGUGUAAUGUUAAGCAAGUCACACAAACACCAAAAUUUUCACACGUGGUCACUAACUGUUCUUCAUUUUCUUGGUGCCCAACUUGAGACCCUGGGGCAGGAUUUGCAGAGGUACUGUAAAAUCACAGCUCCCACUGACUUCAGUGGGAGUUGUGCUUGAAUAGAUGAAGUGCUAUAUAUGUUAAGUACUCUGACCAGGUUCUGGGUGUCUCAAAUUGGGCACCCAAAAUUAGUGGAUACUUUUGACCUUAAUCUUUCUGACCCUCAACUCCCCAUCCUGUCAGACAGGGAUAAUACUGUCUUACCUCACACUGGUUUUGUGAAGAUAUUUGUGAUGUACUUGGAUACCGUUAUGAUGAGCUGCAUAGAAAAGACACUGAGUAAAUUAAUAAUUCCAUCUCAGAGCAGGAAUAAGAAUAGUGUGCAGUAAAUAAGAUCUAGGACCAUACAUUGUUCAAUGAGGAUAAAACAAAAAUAUUGAAUCACUGCUCAAUAAGUGAAUACCAUCCAUCUUGUGCACUGAAUAAGGUCUGGGUCCUGUAGGGAAAAAUAGUAUGGUGAUCAUGUAUGUACAAGGGGGCCGUGUUAAGGUUAUACAGGCAACAUUAAUUCUGGUACUUCCUAACAUUUUGAGUGCUUGACUUUGCAAUCUUAACAUAAUUUUUUUUUAGUGUAAUAUAUGUAGAGAUGAGUAAAACUUGACUUUGCAUACACACUUUUUAAACACAAUACACCAUGAAUGCUUUCCAGAAUGAUCUUGUUUAAUCAGUUAAAACAAUGAACUUACUGAUGGAGUUAGCUUUACUUUUAUAGCAAAUUUUUAUUGUAAUUCCAGUAUUUUUAAGUUAUCAAUAAUGCUAGCAGUGGGGUUGUUUAGAAUUAAAAAAUUCUGAAGUUUUAGAGAAGUUUGAACACCAUAUUCAAACAAAAAUAGAAGUAAGCUGCAUGGAAUUAAUUCCUUGUGGUUUAUGUCAACUGAACUCUUUUUCAUUGUUCCUUUUGGCUGGGAGUUGGUUUGUAUCUCGUUCUAGUCCAGUCAUUGUUAUGUACAGUCUUUGCUCUGUGUGCCAAAGUAACUCCCAUAAAUCUUGGGUGGAGACAUAUGCACACUGAAAAGUUCUGCUUUAUUGUUAACCGCUUUACUCCUGCGAAUGUGUCUGAAAGUGAUUUGGGUUAACAAUACUCCUUUCAUGUGUAAAGAUCACAAACUGACUCAGUCCAUAGAGAGGAAUCAUUUCACCAGUCACUGCAGUACAGCCACCUCUGGGGGUGAAAUAUUGCAGCUGUUUAACAGCGCAUAGUUUAGAAAAGAAUCAUGUCCAAAUGAAAGUGCAGGGAGACUUCUUAGUAGAUAGACUGUAAGUUGGAAUUUGGCCAGGACAACUUAUUUUUAUGUAUUAACUAGCUUAUGGAAUUAAACCUAGUUCUCUUUUUAUAGUGCUUUUCAUCUGUAGAUUUCAAAGCCCUUUAUGAAGGAGGUAAGGAUCAUUCUCACUCUAUCUGUAAAAUAGGAAGUGAUGCACGGGGAGAUGCAGUGACUUGCCCAGUGUCACCCAGUAGGUCAGUGGCUGAGCUGGAAAUAGAGCCCAGGUUUCUUGAGUCCCAAUCCAGUGGUCUGUCCUCUGCCUGCCUGUGCAUGGGGCUUCAGAUUUUGCAUCUCAUCAGAAAGACAGCAUCUCAGGUAGCUAAUGGUGUGCUCAUGCAUUGGUUCAAUACUAUCUCUGAGGGAAGAAUAUCACCUAUUGAAUCAUAAACUUCACUUCCUUCGGCCUUUGGGUUUUCCUUGCAGCUUUCCCAUACACAUAAGUACCAACCCUGCACAGCAUAGGAUUACUGACAAGUUCAUAACUAAGUUGAAACAUAUAUUCUACAUUGUUUAGCUUGUCUUGUAAUACUUUCCAAUUGUCAGAUUGUGAGGUGAUGCUGAAUGAAGUAUAUAGCAGGGCUCUGUUCUGCCUCUAAUAUUAGAGUACUUUAAUUCAUAUCUUGGAUAAUGGAAUAGAGCAUAUGCUAAUCAAACUCAAUUAUACAAAACUGGAAAGGAUCACAAAUAAACUUUUGAGAGGUUCCUCAGCCAUCUUAGAAGUUUUUAUUAGUAGGGGGGGAAGGGGAAUAGACCUUAACAUGCUAGAAAAGUGUUUUUUGUGUUUUUGUCCGUCCCCGUCUCUCCCCCCUCGCCCCCCCCCCACCUGCCCAAUGGCUGAAGGGAUUUCCUCUCCAACCUUUUAAAAAAAAAAAAAAAAAAAAAAACAACUUCUUGGAACAGAACAAAGUUUUCAGCUCCAAAGCAGAAUUCUUCAGAAAGUUGUGAGCAUGGAAAAUACCAUCAUAAUGAAAGCCUCAACAUUAAACUCACCUACCAGUGAAAAUGAUAGUGAAGGUAAUGCAUUACAAGCCUUAUCAUUACAAAAGCAAUCCUUUUGGUGAUUUGAUACUAGAAAUUCCAUCGGUGCGGCUAUUUAAAAAUUAACAAUGUGCUUUAGUACAAUCUGAGCUGUUAUUGACUGUUUUUUUUUAAUUUAGAAGAAAUAAAAUCUUACAAUUUCUGUAACAGUA